rnacentral:rRNA from 1 species
ACGUAGGCAGCGAGCGUUGUUCGGAGUUACUGGGCGUAAAGAGUGCGUAGGCGGUGCUCUAAGUUUGGUGUGGAAUCUCCCGGCUCAACUGGGAGGGUGCGCCGAAAACUGGAGUGCUCGAGUAUGGGAGAGGUAAGCGGAAUUCCUGGUGUAGCGGUGAAAUGCGUAGAUAUCAGGAGGAACACCUGCGGUGUAGACGGCUUACUGGACCAUCACUGACGCUGAGGCACGAAAGCGUGGGUAGCAAACAGGA